rnacentral:rRNA from 1 species
AUUGAACGCUGGCGGCAGGCCUAACACACGCAAGUCGAACGGUAGCACAGAGAGCUUGCUCUCGGGUGACGAGUGGCGGACGGGUGAGUAAUGUCUGGGAAACUGCCCGAUGGAGGGGGAUAACUACUGGAAACGGUAGCUAAUACCGCAUAACGUCGCUAGACCAAAGUGUGGGACCUUCGGGCCUCACACCAUCGGAUGUGCCCAGAUGGGAUUAGCUAGUAGGUGGGGUAAUGGCUCACCUAGGCGACGAUCCCUAGCUGGUCUGAGAGGAUGACCAGCCACACUGGAACUGAGACACGGUCCAGACUCCUACGGGAGGCAGCAGUGGGGAAUAUUGCACAAUGGGCGCAAGCCUGAUGCAGCCAUGCCGCGUGUAUGAAGAAGGCCUUCGGGUUGUAAAGUACUUUCAGCGGGGAGGAAGGCGGUGAAGUUAAUAACUUCACCGAUUGACGUUACCCGCAGAAGAAGCACCGGCUAACUCCGUGCCAGCAGCCGCGGUAA